rnacentral:tRNA from 2 species
GGCACGGUGGCCAAGUGGUAAGGCAUGGGUCUGCAAAACCCUUAUACGCGGGUUCGAUUCCCGCCCGUGCCUCCA